rnacentral:rRNA from 1 species
UCUGGGAUUAGAUACCCCACUAUGCCACGGCACAACAUGAUACCAUCCACCAGAAAAUUACAAGCGAAAGCCUUAAACUCAAAAGACUUGACGGUGCCCCACCUACCUAGAGGAGCCUGUUCCAUAAUCGACAACCCACGCUAAACCUAACCACCCCUUGAAUCAUCAGCCUAUAUACCGCCGUCGCCAGCUUACCUUACAAAAGCACUAUAGUAAGCCUAAUAGUUAAUCACUAAAAAGUCAGGUCAAGGUGCAGCUUAUGGGGUGGGGGAAAUGGGCUACAUUUUUUACAAUAAAACAUCACAGAUCACUACCUGAAACAAACUGUAAAGGAGGAUUUAGUAGUAAGACAAACAAGAACACUUGCCUUAACACAGCCCUGGGACACGUACACACCGCCCGUCACCCU